rnacentral:lncRNA from 1 species
AAAUUAGUAUUAACCGUGGAGUCAUUUCAUUUCUUCUAAUUAACUGAGAUACUUAGAGGCACCAGGGAUACAAAAAUUAAUAAAUCCUUGUCCUGAUUAAUGGAGUCUAGUCGAGGGGACAUAUAAACAACUCAGUACAAUAAGACAUUUUAAGUGUUCUACAGUUAGAAAUAAAUUGCUAUAGGAAGUAGAUUCAAGUAAUUCUGCCCAGGGAUUGUCUAGAGCAGGGAGGAGGAAGAGAAGAUUUCACAGUAGAGGUAAUUUUUGAGUAGGGCCCUUUAAGGCUUAAUAAGAAUUUGCCAGGAGAAAGUGAAGGGCUUUGAGAAUACGCAUAAAAGAGCAAGAAAAUAAACAUUCUGGUGUAGGCAGCAUGGACGCAUUUUUUUUUUAAAAGAAGCUGAAAGAGUUAAGUAGGACCUAGCAGUGAGGACGUGACAUACCAUGCUUAAGGACGUUAGACAUGUGAUAUCUCAAGAUAUUGAGUGAAUUUCUGAUUGAACUCUAAUAGGAAGUUGUGUCAUAUCUUCAGUAUGGGGUUUAUCUCAUGAACUCAUUAAUCCUUUUAUUCAUUCAGAGUUGAACUAUAAGAAGACACCCUGCUAAAAUAAAUCAGAUAGAUGCUGUCCUUAAAGCUCAGUUCACUCUUAUUAAGGAAGAAUUCACAAAAACAAGAAUUGACUGGAAAUCAUGAAGAUAUGAUUCUCAAAAAAAACCCCCAAGAAAUAGCAUCGAAAAAUUUGUUAGUAGUCACAGAGAGAUUUGGUCUGGUGUCGACAGAACUACAGGAUUUUACUGGACGAGUCACUCGAGCGUUGUAGAGAUGCCGUUUCUGAGGUAAACAGAAUUUCAAAAUUUAGAAAAUAAAGUUGUUACCAUUCACAUUUUUUUUUUUAAGUACGAGAUUCUAACUUUUCC